rnacentral:rRNA from 1 species
GACGAACGCUGGCGGCGUGCCUAAUACAUGCAAGUCGAGCGGACGGACGGGAGCUUGCUCCCAGACCGUCAGCGGCGGACGGGUGAGUAACACGUGGGCAACCUGCCUGUAAGUCUGGGAUAACUCCGGGAAACCGGGGCAAAUACCGGAUAACUCUUUCCCUCACAUGAGGGAAAGCUGAAAUAUGGCAUCUCGCUAUUACUUACAGAUGGGCCCGCGGCGCAUUAGCUAGUUGGUCGGGUAACGGCUCACGAAGGCGACGAUGCGUAGCCGACCUGAGAGGAUGAUCGGCCACACUGGGACUGAGACACGGCCCAGACUCCUACGGGAGGCAGCAGUAGGGAAUCUUCGGCAAUGGACGAAAGUCUGACACAGCAACACGGCGUGGGUGAUGAAGGCGUUCGGAUCGUAAAGCUCUGUUGUCGGGAAAGAACAGGUACCGGAGUAACUGCCGGUACCUUGACGGUACCUGACCAAGAAGCAACGGCUAACUACGUG